CAGUGUAUGCUGAUUUACUGCAGUCGUUCUGACUUCUUGUUAUGACAGUGAGGCCUCAUCUUCACUGAAGGAAAUUGGGGUGUCAUAGACUGCGUUCCCGUACUUAGAUCGAUAUACCAGUUGAUGAUCGAGUUCUGCACUUUCCCGAGCCAGGUAGCACCCUAUCAUGGUCACUAUUUCACACAAGUACCCCUGAUUUAAACGCCUUCACAGCCUGCGUAUGGGUCAAAACCAUCCGCACCACAAGCGGCCCCAUUCUAUCCUACGGCUCAGAGAGUUGUCGCCAGUGUAUUGAACUUGGAUACAGCCCCGUUGGUCACGGCUACUCGGUUGUUUUGAAAGGCGAUAAUGUACUGAAUAGAUCCUCUCGUGCCGAAGCGCCCCUACCGGCCGAUGGGAACUGGCACCACUGGUGUGUGGUGUGGAGUGGUGCCAAGAAAGAGGUUAAUGUCUACAGGGAUGGUCUCCACGCGCUGAGUCAACAUGUUAAAGUUUCACGUAUACCUGGAGGUGGUAAAUGGGUUGUUGGACACACUCAGUGUGAGGCAAGUCCUGAUACUCUUCCUAAACAUCCAUCAUUUGUGGGAUUCGUCGGCGGCGUCAACGUCUGGAACCAUGAUAAAGUCGACAUCCCCGGCCUGGCAAUAUGUGCCAAUACUAACGAGGGAAGUCUCAUAUCCUGGGAUACUGUCACCAAGACCAACUACAAGGUCGCCACAUAUGAGGAACAUUGUUAAAAUGUUACCACUACAUUUACUUUUCUGUUAUAUGCCAUUGGUCUAUAUCCUUUAUGGAUCGCCAUUAAAGUAUCAACACCUCUUCCUUUUGCUUUGGGAUUGUACUUUUAGAUUGGAAUGAACAAUAUUUUUCAGAAACAAAAUACCAAGUUAAUAAAGAUUUGCCGAAAGCAACCAUAUGGAUUCGAUGUGAAUGUG